rnacentral:lncRNA from 1 species
UUUCCUGUUGACUAAGGAUGCUGAACACUUCCCACCUUCUCGUUGGCCAUUUGUAGUUUGUGUUUUGCGAAUGAUCUGUUCAGUUUCUGUUUUCCUAUUUCUCUCACUCACGUUCUUCUUCUGGUCUCAUGCAUAAAGUGUUUGAAGCACGACCAGCCAUCAGCUUCCAUUUCUCAUUCCCUAGAUCUUCUCUGGCAGUGUCUGUCAGUUCUUUAGGACAUUUGCACUAAUUUCUUUUCUGACGUGAUAAAACUUAGCCUGGACUUGUUUUUAUUUUGACAAGCCAUUGAAUUUCUCUUUUGCUGAGGACAAUAAAGAUAUCAGAAGUACUUUGGAAAGUUCAUUGGUUAAUGAACAUGCAUUUGAUCAAAGUGGGAAAUUGUUCUUUCCUGGAUGAUCAUACGACUGAGUGGCUACACCAAUGAGUUCAGCUGAUAGAUGCCCAGUACUGUGUGUAAGCUGUAUGAUUUCACAGAAGAUUUUUGCCUUUCAAUCUCAGUUCCCUCCCCUGUGAACACUAUAUAACUUUCCCAGAUAGCUUCAGCUUAUGUCAGCAAAUUACAGUAUACUGGCCAAAUCCGCCCCACCUGCUGUCUGUUUCAAUAAAGGUUUAUUAACACAAAGCCAGGCCCAUUUGUUUGCAUCUGUCUGUGGCUGCUUUUCUGCCACAGGGGCAGAGUUAAAUAACUGUAACAGAGACUUUGUGCGGGUAAAGUCUAAAAUACUUAUUAUUUGUCCACAAGAAAAAGACUUCUUCAUAUGUGUAAAUCUUAUGCAUGUACAUAUGCAUCUGUAGUAUAGUUAUUAAGUCUUCAUCAUGGACCUGACACAUUAUAAAUAAUCUAUAUAUGUUAUCCAUUAAAGUAUCUAUUAUUAUAGUUUCAUUAAAUCUAGUUUAACUUACCUGUUCAAAGCUCAGUUGUGGAGGGCAUCAGAUGAAAUAGUAUGAAAGUUCUCAGAAAAGUAUGUAAGUUUAAAAUAUUUCUCUUUGAAAAUAUUUUAUAAACUAAGUUUUCAUUGCUUUUGUCUCUUAGUUAAGCAGAUUUGAUAGUUAAAAUAUGUGUGGUGGCACUUGUACAAGUAUGUCAGGCACUGGCCUGCUUAAGUCAUACUGCCAAGUUGGGUGGUAGAAACAACAGGAUUUCUUAUCUCACACUCUCAAGGCAAAUGUCUGAAACCAGGGUGUCAGCAUGGUCCUUCUGUCUCCAAAGGUUCAAGGAAGAUUGCUUCCAGUUUAGGGAAGCUACCUCCUCCGGCUCCCUGGGCAGAGGAGCCUGGCUUUCCUUGGCCAGGAUGUGUCACUGUAGUGUCUGCCCUGAACUCACAUUGCCUUUUUCAUCUGCCUAUCUUCAGGAGAUCUGGCUCCCAAAUCCCCUCUUGAGAGAGAGGUACCGGUCACUAGAUCAGAGCUCAGUCACACCGUUAUGAUAUAUUAACUUAAUGUAUCUACAAAGUGCAUUUAUCCACAUAGGGUCAAAUCCACAAAUUACAGGGAUGCAGAUUGCAACAUGGCCUUCUGGGUGAUGCUAUUCAAUCUGCACCCUGAGGAACUGUUGUUCAGAAGAACGACGAAGAGUUUUAGACUACAUGUUAGAUCAAAACAAAUGAUCAAACUAAGCAUUUCAGUCAGGUAGCCUGAUAACUGAAAAAUAAAGGCUGAUGAAAAUCCCGUUAGCGACACGUAUUUGUAAAAGAGUAUCUAUGUUUCCUUGACUGGAAGGUAAAGGUGAGGCUAUGGAUGAGAAACAAUGAGAGAGAAUGUCACUUUAGACAUGUGGGUACAAAGAGAUAUUCAGAGCAAAGUGCCCUUAUCCACAUCCCUGAGCCACACCUCACAACUGACAAUGCCCCCACAUCUGGCCACUCCCCCACAUCUGAUCACGCCCCCCGCAUCUGGCCACAUGUCACAGCUGGCCACGUCCUGACAGCUGGGUCAGUUUCUAACAGAGACACAUGUGCAGACUGGAGAAGACACAUCCAAACACAUGCCAAGGGUGGAACACUGUGUGCUGACAGAAUAAGAUGGGAACACUGUGGGUCGGGAGAGGCGCGGUGAAGCACUAGAGCAUACAUGGAAGACCUGUGUUGGAAUGUAAAAGCUCUCAAAGUGACUCGGGAUGGGCUCUGCCACAGCGUUCCUGUUCCUCGAUCCACCAGGCUUUCGAUAUCUCUUGCCAAUUCUUCCUCUUUCUUCUCUCUCUCACUCUCUGCUCCUCCAGCACACAUUUGAGAUUAUUUUCUUUAUUGAGUCUUGUUUUCUAUCAUUUCUUGACAGUUUCCCAUUUGUGAAAUAUAAUUUCUGAACGUCCUUUUUAAUGACCUUCUAUGUUCUUCUCCAUGAUAGUGCCUUCAAUCACUGUAGCGUAAAUACAUUUAAAUUAACUACUGAAAUGUAUCCUAGAAAGAGCCCAUCACCUAGCUGAGUCAGUUUGAGAUGUCAGUGGUAGAGCCAAGCGGUUUGAAGGAUGCUUGUUGGUCAAUAGAGAAGAAUUAAGAGGAGAAUCUUCCUGAAAGGAGCAUGGGGUGACUACUAGAAAAGAAAUCUUUGUCCUGUACAUGUUCUUGUGGGUUGUUUUUAUAAGUUUCUAUUUGAGGUAAAAGUUGGCUCAGGUAGGUACCAGAUUUUUGUUCUCGGAUGUUCUGUUUGCAUGAGCACCAUUGGGAGUUUCUUCUGAAGAUCCUGUAAAUAAGUUGUGCGAUCCUAUGACAAAACCUGUCUUUUCUCAGGGCCUGUUCUUUAAAAGCCUGUUAUUGAAAGGAGUUGUAAGGAUCAAGCUAAUCCAGAGCUCAGUCUGUGAAUGUAAAACUGAUGUC